CGGAGGAUCCAAGCGUUAUCCGGAAUCAUUGGGUUUAAAGGGUCCGUAGGCGGUUUAGUAAGUCAGUGGUGAAAGCCCAUCGCUCAACGGUGGAACGGCCAUUGAUACUGCUAAACUUGAAUUAUUAGGAAGUAACUAGAAUAUGUAGUGUAGCGGUGAAAUGCUUAGAGAUUACAUGGAAUACCAAUUGCGAAGGCAGGUUACUACUAAUGGAUUGACGCUGAUGGGCGAAAGCGUGGGUAGCGAACAGGAUUAGAUACCCUGGUAGUCCACGCCGUAAACGAUGGAUACUAGCUGUUGGGGGCAACUUCAGUGGCUAAGCGAAAGUGAUAAGUAUCCCACCUGGGGAGUACGUUCGCAAGAAUG
rnacentral:rRNA from 1 species